rnacentral:lncRNA from 1 species
UUUUCUUUUUUUGUAAUCCACGAUCGAAUUUUUUGUUUUUUUUUUUUGUAAUCCAUGAUCGAAUUUUAUGUAAUCCAUGAUUGAAUUUUUUGUAAUCCACGAUAGAAUUUUCUGUAAUCCAUGAUCGAAUUUUUUGUAAUCCAUGAUCGAAAUGUUUGUUUUUUUUUCUUGUAAUCCAUGAUCGAAUUUUUUGUUUUUUGUUUUUUUUUGUAACCCAU